rnacentral:lncRNA from 10 species
CUUCUCUGCCCUCCAUCGCCAAGCCCUACACCUCUGCGAAGACUGUGACACAUAAAGUCCUGUGUCAACGGCGGGGUUUCACCAUGUUGGCCAGGCUGGUCUAGAACUCCUGAUCUCAAGAGAUCCACCCACCUCGGCCUCCCAAAGUGCUGGGAUUACCUGCAUGAGCCACUGCACCUGGCUUCAGCCCUUUGUUUUAUCCAAGAGAAGGUCAAGAGCAGAUAAAUUGGAUCUGUGCCCGCAGAGAGAGCCUGCUCCAGCCUCUUUGCUACAGCCUUGAGUCUUCUGCUAAGAAAAGACACAGAGGCAAAGAGAAACACAUAGAGAGGAGAAUGCCUCGUGAAAAUGGAGACCGAGAUUGGUGCAAUGUGUCCACAAGCCAGGGAAUGCCAACGUGGCCAGCAACCACCAGAAGCUGGGAGAGAGGCAUGGAACAGAGUCCUCGGAGCCUCCAGAAGGAACCAACCCUGUUGAUACCUUGACUGAAAACUUCCAGCCUCCAGAACUGUGACAGAAUUAAUUUCUGUUAUUUAAAGCCAUUCAGUCUGUGGUAAUUUGUUACAUCAGCCCUGAAUAGCAAAUACAGAUGACCCAGGUUUAAAUCCUAGUUCUGCCACUUAUGAGCGUGGGUACAUAACUACUUUCUAGAGCCCCGGUUUCCUCAUCUGUAAAAAACCUCAUACGGUUAUUAAGAAGAUCAAAUGAGAUACAAACAUAAAUUCUUAACAGUGCUGGCAUGUUAAUUGUUCAAUAAAUAUGAGUUAUUUACAACAAUUGUGAUAGUAAUGAGUAACACAGAGAAAUGAGAAUUGACUUAACAGAGGCUGGCUCGGCAAGCCUCUAUGCCAACAAAAUUUAUUUGGAAAUCAAAAGUAUUUACUUCAGACUGGGCGCAGUGGCUCACACCUGUAAUCCCUGCACUUGAGGUCAGGAGUUGGAAACCAGCCUGGCCAACAUGGUGAAACCUCAUCUUUACUAAGGGAGGAGACCACCCCUCAUAUUGUCUGCAUAUGCCCAGUUUCUGCCUCCAAAGAAAGAAGAAGUAAAAACUAAAAGGCAGAAAUGAAGUCCACAGGCAGACAGCCCGGUGCCACACCCUGGGCUUGGUAGUUAAAGAUCGACCCCUGACCUAAUCAGUUAUGUUAUCUAUAGAUUACAGGCAUUGUAUAGAAAAGCACUGUGAAAAUCCCUGUCCUGUUCUGUUCUGUUAUAAUUACUGGUGUAUGCAGCCCCCAGUCACGUACCCUCUACUUGCUCAAUCGAUCACGACCCUCUCACGCAGACCCCCUUAGAGUUGUGAGCCCUUAAAAGGGACAGGAAUUGCUCACUCGGGGAGCUCGGUUUUUGGAGACGUGAGUCUUGCCGAAGCUCCCGGCUGAAUAAAGCCCUUCCUUCUUUAACUCGGUGUCUGAGGGGUUUUGUCUGCGGCUUGUCCUGCUACACUACUAAAAACACA